GCAAGCGUUGUUCCGGAAUCAUUGGGCGUAAAGAGCGUGUAGGCGGCCCGAUAAGUCCGCUGUGAAAGUCCAGGGCUCAACCCUGGAAUGCCGGUGGAUACUGUCGGGCUCGAAUCCGGAAGAGGUGAGUGGAAUUCCUGGUGUAGCGGUGAAAUUCGUAGAUAUUAGGAAGAACACCAGUGGCGAAGGCGGCUCACUGGUCCGGUACUGACGCUGAGGUGCGAAAGCGUGGGGAGCAAACAGG
rnacentral:rRNA from 1 species